AGAGUUUGAUCCUGGCUCAGGACGAAUGCUGGCGGCGUGCUUAACACAUGCAAGUCGAACGGUGAAGCCCUUCGGGGCGGAUCAGUGGCGAACGGGUGAGUAACACGUGGGCAAUCUGCCCUGCACUCUGGGACAACUCCGGGAAACCGGGGCUAAUACCGGAUAUGACGCAUUCCCGCAUGGGGGUGUGUGUAAAGCUC
rnacentral:rRNA from 1 species